rnacentral:rRNA from 1 species
AGUGAACGCUGGCGGUAGGCCUAACACAUGCAAGUCGAACGGCAGCACAGUAAGAGCUUGCUCUUACGGGUGGCGAGUGGCGGACGGGUGAGGAAUACAUCGGAAUCUACUUUUUCGUGGGGGAUAACGUAGGGACACUUACGCUAAUACCGCAUACGACCUACGGGUGAAAGCAGGGGAUCUUCGGACCUUGCGCGAUUGCAUGAGCCGAUGUCGGAUUAGCUAGUUGGCGGGGUAAAGGCCCACCAAGGCGACGAUCCGUAGCUGGUCUGAGAGGAUGAUCAGCCACACUGGAACUGAGACACGGUCCAGACUCCUACGGGAGGCAGCAGUGGGGAAUAUUGGACAAUGGGCGCAAGCCUGAUCCAGCCAUACCGCGUGGGUGAAGAAGGCCUUCGGGUUGUAAAGCCCUUUUGUUGGGAAAGAAAAGCAGCAGGUUAAUACCCCGCUGUUCUGACGGUACCCAAAGAAUAAGCACCGGCUAACUUCGUG